rnacentral:rRNA from 1 species
UACGUAGGGGGCAAGCGUUGUCCGGAUUUAUUGGGCGUAAAGAGCGUGUAGGCGGCUGGGUAGGUCCGCUGUGAAAACCCGGGGCUUAACCCCUGGCUUGCAGUGGAUACGGACAGACUAGAGGUAGGUAGGGGAGAAUGGAAUUCCCGGUGUAGCGGUGAAAUGCGCAGAUAUCGGGAGGAACACCGGUGGCGAAGGCGGUUCUCUGGGCCUUACCUGACGCUGAGGAGCGAAAGCGUGGGUAGCAAACAGG